rnacentral:misc_RNA from 1 species
AAUAUGACAUGCCAAAAAUUUGCCUAUCCAUAUGGAACUAAAAUAAGAUGCAACUGUACAGAUAUCCCAGUAUUCUACACCUCAAAGGAUAGGCAAAUUUUUGGCAUGUCAUAUUAACAAUAUCUUCCCAUGACAGCACAAGGAAAUUAUAAAUCAAAAGGUUAAUGAUAGAAAUGAGGAUUUACUAGUCUUAGCAGCAUGCCAAUGACUCUGAACGUCAAAUUCUCCAUAACACUAACUCAACUUACAGUGCUCGAAAACUGUCUGCUUUAUCAAGUCUGGCCAUGCCUGAGCUUGAUGAUUCACCCAUUGCAUC